GACGAACGCCGGCGGCGUGCUUAACACAUGCAAGUCGAACGGAAAGGCCCUGCUUUUGUGGGGUGCUCGAGUGGCGAACGGGUGAGUAACACGUGAGUAACCUGCCCUUGACUUUGGGAUAACUUCAGGAAACUGGGGCUAAUACCGGAUAGGAGCUCCUGCUGCAUGGUGGGGGUUGGAAAGUUUCGGCGGUUGGGGAUGGACUCGCGGCUUAUCAGCUUGUUGGUGGGGUAGUGGCUUACCAAGGCUUUGACGGGUAGCCGGCCUGAGAGGGUGACCGGCCACAUUGGGACUGAGAUACGGCCCAGACUCCUACGGGAGGCAGCAGUGGGGAAUAUUGCACAAUGGGCGGAAGCCUGAUGCAGCAACGCCGCGUGCGGGAUGACGGCCUUCGGGUUGUAAACCGCUUUCGCCUGUGACGAAGCGUGAGUGACGGUAAUGGGUAAAGAAGCACCGGCUAACUACGUGCCAGCAGCCGCGGUGAUACGUAGGGUGCGAGCGUUGUCCGGAUUUAUUGGGCGUAAAGGGCUCGUAGGUGGUUGAUCGCGUCGGAAGUGUAAUCUUGGGGCUUAACCCUGAGCGUGCUUUCGAUACGGGUUGACUUGAGGAAGGUAGGGGAGAAUGGAAUUCCUGGUGGAGCGGUGGAAUGCGCAGAUAUCAGGAGGAACACCAGUGGCGAAGGCGGUUCUCUGGGCCUUUCCUGGCGCUGAGGAGCGAAAGCGUGGGGAGCGAACAGGCUUAGAUACCCUGGUAGUCCACGCUGUAAACGGUGGGUACUAGGUGUGGGGUCCAUUCCACGGGUUCCGUGCCGUAGCUAACGCUUUAAGUACCCCGCCUGGGGAGUACGGCCGCAAGGCUAAAACUCAAAGGAAUUGACGGGGCCCCGCACAAGCGGCGGAGCAUGCGGAUUAAUUCGAUGCAACGCGUAGAACCUUACCUGGGUUUGACAUGGAUCGGGAGCGCUCAGAGAUGGGUGUGCCUCUUUUGGGGUCGGUUCACAGGUGGUGCAUGGCUGUCGUCAGCUCGUGUCGUGAGAUGUUGGGUUAAGUCCCGCAACGAGCGCAACCCUUGUUCACUGUUGCCAGCACGUUAUGGUGGGGACUCAGUGGAGGCCGCCGGGGCCAACUCGGAGGAAGGUGGGGAUGACGUCAAGUCAUCAUGCCCCUUAUGUCCAGGGCUUCACGCAUGCUACAAUGGCUGGUACAGAGAGUGGCGAGCCUGUGAGGGUGAGCGAAUCUCGGAAAGCCGGUCUCAGUUCGGAUUGGGGUCUGCAACUCGACCUCAUGAAGUCGGAGUCGCUAGUAAUCGCAGAUCAGCAACGCUGCGGUGAAUACGUUCCCGGGGCU
rnacentral:rRNA from 1 species